rnacentral:rRNA from 1 species
GAGAGUUUGAUUCUGGCUCAGGACGAACGCUGGCGGCGUGCCUAAUACAUGCAAGUCGAGCGAAUGAAAGAGAAGCUUGCUUCUCUGGAUUUAGCGGCGGACGGGUGAGUAACACGUGGGCAACCUACCUUAUAGAUGGGGAUAACUCCGGGAAACCGGGGCUAAUACCGAAUAACUCCAAGCACCUCCUGGUGCUUGGCUGAAAGACGGUUUCGGCUGUCACUAUAAGAUGGGCCCGCGGCGCAUUAGCUAGUUGGUAAGGUAACGGCUUACCAAGGCAACGAUGCGUAGCCGACCUGAGAGGGUGAUCGGCCACACUGGGACUGAGACACGGCCCAGACUCCUACGGGAGGCAGCAGUAGGGAAUCUUCCACAAUGGACGAAAGUCUGAUGGAGCAACGCCGCGUGAGUGAAGAAGGUUUUCGGAUCGUAAAACUCUGUUGUAAGGGAAGAACAAGUACAGUAGUAACUGGCUGUACCUUGACGGUACCUUAUUAGAAAGCCACGGCUAACUA